rnacentral:lncRNA from 1 species
AUGCAAAACAUUGUUGAAUUAUUUAUGGAAGUAACUAAUUUGUCCAAUAAACGAGAGGCAGAAGAAAUAUUAAACAUGUGUGAAUGGAAUUUGGAAGAAGCAAUAUCUACCUAUAUGAAUGAUGAUGAUUUUACAAAGCUAGAAAAUGUGUCAGACUCGAUAAAAUUAUCAGAAGUAGAAAAUCGGAUAAAUGGAAAGAAAAACGAAAAUGAUAAAACUUUAGAACAAAACAGUAAAUUAAAUGAUAAUAAAUUGAACGAUAAUAAAUCGAAUGAUAGUAAAUUGAAUGAUAGUGAUAUUGACAACAAUUCAAUUGACAAAAACGAAAUCAAUGUAAAGGGAGAUAAACUUGGGAAAAAUCAGUUUAUAUAUUUAAUACAUAAAUUUAGUAAAACAUUUAGUCCUUUUUUUACAUCUUUUUUGAAUCUUAUAAAAACAUGUUUUCAAUUUAUUAGUACAUAUUUCAUUGGGUUAUCAAAUAAAAAACACGAUUUUACUUCUUAUUACGAAAAUAAGUUUGGAAAUAGUCAUUGUUUGUUUUUUGAAGGUACACUACAUGAUGCUAUAAUAAAAUCUAAAAAGGAAGAGAAGUUAUUACUUGUUUAUUUGCAUAUUGAUGAUGCAAGUAGUGAAUAUAUUUGUAAAAGUAUUUUUAAUAAUAAUAAAAUUAAGUCAUUUUUGGAUGAACAUUGUAUUUUGUAUGCACAAGAUAUAUCGAAAGGUUAUUUAAAAGAAUUAAGUAAUGUUUUAAAUGUUUUUGUAUUACCACAAAUAAGUAUACUUACUACAUGUGUUGAUGGAGAUCCAAAAGAAUUGUCUAUUAUUUAUGGAAAACCACAUGUUAAUAAUGUAAUAAACUCUAUUAUUAAUUGUAUUGAAAUAAUGCAUAAAAAAAAAGAAGAAUCUAAUUAUUAUUAUUCAAAUAGUCUAGUUAGUGAUAGUAAUUUUAGUGAUGUGAGUAGGAAUAGAAAUACUGUUACUGCUGCUACUACAGGUAGUGUUUCUACUACAUCCAUUACCACACCUGUUAAUAAUAAUAAUAAUAAUACUGUGAGGGAUAAAACAUAUACUGAUAGAAUGAUUAGAGAAGAACAAGAUAAAGAAUAUCAAGAAACAAUAAGACUUGAUUUGUUAAAGGAAGAAGAAAAAAGAAAAAAAGAAGAAGAAAAAUUAAAAAAAAAAAAAAAUAAAAAAAAUAUUAAAAAAAUGAGAAAAAAAAAAAGUUUGAAUUAUUCAUUACAAAUAAAUGAAAACGAAAUUAAUAAUAUAACACAUAUAUGUUUAAAAUUACCAAAUGGUGUUAGAGUGAAAAAUAAAUUUAUGCUUACACAUACACUUGAAGAUAUAUAUGAAUGGGCUGAAUGUUUAGAAUUUUUACAAAAUACAAAAAUGCGUAUCCCAUAUAAAUUUAAAUUAGUAUGUGGACAUACUAAAACAAUAUUAGAAAAAUCAAACAAACAACUAAAAGAAUUUGAUUUAUUUCCUAACGCUGUGCUUAACUUGAAAUCGAUGGAUUCGUCCGACGAGGACAGUGACGAAGAAGAUAGUGUCACUGAUGACGAGUGUACAGAGCAUGAUAAGAAUAAAAAAGUAGCAUAAGCCCUUUUUUUUUUUUUGUGCGCAGGUUUAAGUAUUAUACACACAUACAUAUAUAUAUAUAUAUAUAUAUAUAUAUAUAUAUAUAUGUAUGUAUGUAUGUAUACAAACAGAUGAAUGAAACAUAACAAUUACGCAUUUUGUAUAUGCAUUUUUAUUUUUUUUUACUGUAACAUGUUACAUUUGCUUAGCAUUAGCAAUUUUUUAGUACUAAAUAUGACCAUGUUAAAAGGGAAAUGGGGGGAUGUAAAUAUAUAUAUGUGUAUAUAUAGAGAGAGAUAGAGAGGGGGAGAGAGAUAGAGAGAUGGAGAGAUGAAGAGAUGGAGAGAUGAAGAGAUGGAGAGAUGAAGAGAUGAAGAGAUGGAGAGAUGGAGAGAUGGAGAGAUGGAGAGAGAUAGAGAGAUGGAGAGAGAAAGAGCGAACUGCUUAGCUAAGUCAAAAAAAAAAAAAAAAAAAUUAGCUAAGCCAUAUUUAGUUUCGUUUUAUUAUGUUAUAUACUUAUAACAUUUAUUAUGCUAUACACAUAAACAUAUAAUUAUUUAUGUAAAUUAUAAAAAUGUAAUAUUUUUUUUAUGUUAUUAGAAGAAAAUAAUUAAGUAUAAAAAAGAAACAACAGAAAAAAAGAUGAUGGUAUAUUAAAUAUGGUAAAAAGAGAAUAUAUACAUAUAACUGUGUGGAAGAAUAGAGGAGAGUGUGAGGGCAUUAACUGUAUGUUAUAUUGCUACUAUUAUUAUAUUGCUACUAUUAUUAUAUUGCUACUAUUAUUAUAUUACUGCUAUUAUUAU